UACGGAGGGGGCGAGCGUUAUUCGGAAUUAUUGGGCGUAAAGGGCGCGUAGGUGGCUUGGUAAGUCAAAGGUGAAAUCCCUCGGCUCAACUGAGGAAUUGCCUUUGAAACUGCCUGGCUUGAGGCCGGGAGGGGGUAGCGGAAUUCCCAGUGUAGCGGUGAAAUGCGUAGAUACUGGGAGGAACACCGGUGGCGAAGGCGGCUACCUGGACCGGUUCUGACACUGAUGCGCGAAAGCGUGGGGAGCAAACAGG
rnacentral:rRNA from 1 species